AACAGAAUGGGGAAGCAGCUGUAAGCGGCACGUGAGAUGCAUUCUUAGCGGUCAUCACACUCAUCAGACGGCGAACGUUCUGCUUUGUUGAGAACGUGUCGAUUUUUAUUUUAUUACCUACCUACAGCAGAAUGUUUGCUAAUUUAUGUUUGGUCAGGUAGUUUAGCUCUGAGAAACAAAAGUGUUAUUGUCCAUAGUUAUUUGUUAUCUUAACAAACAGUAAGAUUACAAAAGCACAUUGGAUGUGUUUGCUAUAAUUAUUGUUGAUCAUUAUUUGAGGCCGGUGAUAGUUAAUUUAAAGAAAUAAUAAAGGCGCCAAAAAUGCUCAAGCUUACGGCUUUCGCCCUUUAAGUAGGUCGAAUAGGUAGUUACUGCAUAAUACCUACAUUAGAAAGUAAAUAUGGCAGUGAACAACACAGUCGCAGUGAUACAAAAGAGAUAAUUCAAUUAUUAUAUCACUCAACAAAAUAUUUGACUUUACUACUUACACUACACUACUUACUUCCAUUUUACUUACUUAAAGAUCCUGGUUUUAUCGCUUCUCUAUUUAAUUACGCGACACACUUUAGUUUUGUGUUUCUUAUUAAUUUUAAUAAGGGAACAAGUUCUUGAUUUAUAUCAUAUUCGAUCAUUUAUUACUAAAUUGUUCUUUUAUCGUAUCCAUCAGCAGCAAGUGUUAUUAACCCUAAAGAUGGGAAAACAAGUGACCAAGUCCAAAUUCGGUUUUGAGUUCUAUUUCAAGGCAACAGACGAAUUAGGUGUUAUCUAAUGACGGGCAGUUGGAAGAUUCUUGGCAGUUUAGAUUUCUGUAAUAGCCUUUUCAAGAUCUUUCUUUUCCAACAACCUUGGAAACAGAGUUGCAUUUAUAAUUGAAGAAUGACGUAAUAAAAGAGUUAAGAACCAAACGUCUCGGAAAAAUAUUUAUUCAUUAAAAUAUUUAGUAUCUAGUAGUUUGGUAUCAAGCAACGAAAUGGGCGUGAAUAUUUCAGGUAAGCAGAUAGAGAGAACGAGGCUCAGAGGAAAGGUUCAGACACAUUGGAUACAUGGGAUUUGCACUAAUGACAAACCCCCAAAGGAUAAGAGCUGUCAAAAUACAGAGUGGUGAAGGUGUUGGUGGUAGUUGUGGAGUUGGUUCAACUACGACAUUCACCAACCCAUUGAUAGUCAGACGAUUUUCUUACUGAAAUAAAAAGUCAACCAUUUGUUUUACAGUAUUGCAUGCACACGAUGGUCCACCAGAAGGCUCUAAUUUAGUGGCAAUGACAACGAAAAAUGAACUAAACGAAGAAAUCUAUAAAUAAUUACUGUACCAAUACACAACUAAUAGAUCGCGGACGAACCCAUAAUUUAUAUUUUAAAUUAUAUUUAUUUGGCCAGUUGGUUGUUCUCUUUUUAAGACAGUUGUAUGUUUUUCACAUGGCAUACUUUUGAUUGUUUUCAUAUUUAGUUCAAUUUAUUUAUAACUUUUUUUCAAUAUCUUUUAAUGUAAUAUUUUUUAAUAUUAUUUUUAUGACAAUAAAAGAACAAAUGUA